AUACGUAGGUGGCGAGCGUUGUCCGGAAUUAUUGGGCGUAAAGCGUGCGUAGGCGGUCUAUUAAGUCUGAUUUGAAAGCCCGUGGCUUAACCAUGGAGGGUGAUUGGAAACUGAUAGACUUGAGUACAGGAGAGGAAGGUGGAAUUCCAUGUGUAGCGGUGAAAUGCGUAGAUAUAUGGAGGAACACCAGUGGCGAAGGCGGCCUUCUGGCCUGAAACUGACGCUGAGGCACGAAAGCGUGGGUAGCAAACAGGAUUAGAUACCCUGGUAGUCCACGCCGUAAACGAUGAGUACUAAGUGUUGGGGGAAACCUCGGUGCUGAAGUUAACGCAUUAAGUACUCCGCCUGGGAAGUACGGUCGCAAGACUGAA
rnacentral:rRNA from 1 species